AUAAGAGAAUAAAAGCAGGCUGCCCCCAAGCCAGCAGUAGCAAAGCUGUCCGUUUUGGUUUCUCACCGUGGAAGCUUUGUUCUUUUGGUCUUUUGUAAUAGGUCUUGCUGUUGCUCAGUGUUUGGGUCUACAUUACUUUUGGAGCUGUGGCACUCCGCGUGAAGGCUUGCAGCUUCACCCUUGAAGCCAGUGAGACCAUGAACCCACCAGGAGGAGUGAAGGCUGUCUUGUCUUAAGUAGUCCUACCGGCUGUAACGGUUGUUGUGAAAGUCUGUAUCCUCACUCGUGAGCCAGCAAGACCAUGAAUCAACUAGGAGGAAGAAACUCCGAACAUAUGCGAACAUCAGGAGGAACAAACUCUGGAUACGCUGCUUUUAAAAGUUGUAAUGCUCACUGAGCAGGUUUGCGGCUUCAUUCUUGAAGUCAGUGAGACCAAGAACCCACCAAUUCUGGACACAAAAUCUGUUUGCCUGUUUAGAGGCAUACUACGGGGUUACAUUAGAAGCCCACCGAGAUAAUCCAAUACAAUCUUCUGAUCUCAAAAUCCUUCACUUAAUGACAUCUUUGGCAACUUGAAAUAAUAAUCACAGGUGUCUGACUUUUAAGGUGAGAGAACUAAGUUGUGUGACUCCAAAAGAGCAGAAACCAGGAACUGGAGAAUGGAGGACCAAAGAUCAGAGAACAAACGGUGGUUGCUGUUUGGGAAUCCCUGCAUCCUUUGAGAGUCCCCACUGGAGGCAGCGGGCCUAAAGCUCAAGUGGCUGUAGGCAGUUGAAAGGCUGCAGUGGGAAAGGAAAGGCCUGGCGGUGGGGGGGACAGAAGGCAGAAGCAGCAGGGACUCGAAGGGGUAUAUCAAAGUGCUCCCCUACAAGAGGACAGAAGGGGGAUCAAAGGUAGUAAAGUGAGGGAAGGAGCAAAAGCAGUGGGAAAGGAGUGGUCUUAAAGGGGUCAGUUGGGUGCGAACUUAUGUUUCCAAAAGAAGACAACGAAGUUCCACAUUAUCUUUAGUAAAAUCGUGCCAAC
rnacentral:lncRNA from 1 species